GUGAGCGUUGUUCUUGGGAGUCCCUGCCUUCCAAGCAGGUUGUCGCGAGUUCGAGUCUCGUCUCCCGCUC
rnacentral:tRNA from 1 species